CUCUUGUGAAAGGACAAUAGCAAAGUAUAAAUGUCUGUUUCCCCUUUAGGACCAUGAACUCCUUGAGGCUUUUGAACUCCUUGUUAUCUCUGUAUCCUCUACUCCUGAUACACAGCAGGAAUUCAGUCCACACCUGUGGAAUGACCAAAUGAAAUGGCAGGCUUCCGGGGCGGACAUCAGUGCCUCUCCAGAGCGUCGCUAUUCACCCCUGCCUUCUGCUUCCAGGGAGCUCACCAGCCACCGAGGUAGGAACUCAUUUUUUUAUUGCUCUCAGUGGCUUCAAGGAGGGCCACUUGGCUGUGCAGUGCUCUGAAGCUCAUUGCUGCUGCUUUGACACUUCAGAAGGAACA
rnacentral:lncRNA from 1 species